rnacentral:rRNA from 1 species
GAUGAACGCUGGCGGUAUGCUUAACACAUGCAAGUCGAACGGUCACUUCGGUGGUAGUGGCGGACGGGUGAGUAACGCGUGAGAAUCUGUCUUCAGGUCGGGGACAACAGUUAGUAAUGACUGCUAAUACCGGAUGUGCCUUUGGGUGAAAGAUUUAUUGCCUGAAAAAGAGCUCGCGUCAGAUUAGCUAGUAGGUGGUGUAAGAGACUACCUAGGCUCCGAUCUGUAGCUGGUCUGAGAGGACGAUCAGCCACACUGGAACUGAGACACGGUCCAGACUCCUACGGGAGGCAGCAGUGGGGAAUUUUCCGCAAUGGGCGAAAGCCUGACGGAGCAAUACCGCGUGAGGGACGAAGGCUUUUGGGUCGUAAACCUCUUUUCUCAAGGAAGAUGAUGACGGUACUUGAGGAAUAAGCAUCGGCUAACUCUGUG